rnacentral:lncRNA from 1 species
UAGACAAGAAAAUGGAUGACAAAGGUUUAGAACUCGGCAUUCAUGUUUUUGCUUUUCUUUGUGCACAAAUUAUUUUAUGGGGUUUUGUCAAACUUGACUCUUUUCCUCUCAAUUUUUCUUUUGAGUAACACAUUACUGCAUGAGUCUUUGACUUAGGCAAGUGCUUAUACUUCAUUUCUAUUUUUCAUUUCUUUUCUCUUUUUUUCGGUAGAAGCGGAUGUUUCUACACACUUUUUUUUCUUUUUGUUGCACUUGCCCUUUUUCAAAUUUUUUCUAAGGAUCACCACCCCAAACUUAUCUUUUUG